rnacentral:rRNA from 1 species
UACAGGGGGGGCAAGCGGUGUUCGGAAUUACUGGGCGUAAAGGGCUCGUAGGCGGCCAACUAAGUCAGACGUGAAAUCCCUCGGCUUAACCGGGGAACUGCGUCUGAUACUGGAUGGCUUGAAUCCGGGAGAGGGAUGCGGAAUUCCAGGUGUAGCGGUGAAAUGCGCAGAUAUCAGGAGGAACACCGGUGGCGAAGGCGGGUCUCUGGGCCGUAACUGACGCUGAGGAGCGAAAGCGUGGGGAGCAAACAGG